rnacentral:sRNA from 1 species
CAGAAGAAGAUGAAGAAGAGGUGAUAAGUUGGA